AAUGUACUCCCUCCAUCCGGAAAUACUUGUCGGAGAAAUGCAUGUAUCUAGACAUAAUUUAGUUAUAGAUACAUCCAUUUCUGUGACAAGUAAUUCUGGACGGAGGGAGUAGUAU
rfam:Triticum aestivum genome assembly, contig: Triticum_aestivum_CS42_TGACv1_scaffold_050005_1BS